UGGUGGGUAGUUUGACUGGGGCGGUCUCCUCCCAAAGAGUAACGGAGGAGCACGAAGGUUAGCUAAUCCUGGUCGGACAUCAGGAGGUUAGUGCAAUGGCAUAAGCUAGCUUGACUGCGAGCGUGACGGCGCGAGCAGGUGCGAAAGCAGGUCAUAGUGAUCCGGUGGUUCUGAAUGGAAGGGCCAUCGCUCAACGGAUAAAAGGUACUCCGGGGAUAACAGGCUGAUACCGCCCAAGAGUUCAUAUCGACGGCGGUGUUUGGCACCUCGAUGUCGGCUCAUCACAUCCUGGGGCUGAAGUAGGUCCCAAGGGUAUGGCUGUUCGCCAUUUAAAGUGGUACGCGAGCUGGGUUUAGAACGUCGUGAGACAGUUCGGUCCCUAUCUGCCGUGGGCGCUGGAGAAUUGAGGGGGGCUGCUCCUAGUACGAGAGGACCGGAGUGGACGCAUCACUGGUGUUCGGGUUGUCAUGCCAAUGGCAUUGCCCGGUAGCUAAAUGCGGAAGAGAUAAGUGCUGAAAGCAUCUAAGCACGAAACUUGC
rnacentral:rRNA from 1 species